CAUUUGGGCUCCUCGUCCUGCAGAUCCUGGCCGGCUGCUGUGAGUCACCCCACGUUAGGAUGUUGCUGGGAGCACCGCUGGAGCCCUUAGAGGGCAACCUUUGGGCUGGAAGCCAUGCUGUGUCUCCACCUGCAUCUCACAGGCCACAUGGAAAUUGGCUAGAAUGCAGCUCCUUGGCUCCAUUUCUGUCAAGACCCUAGAUGUGGCAGUCUCUGUGGGAGAGCUAUGCAAGCACCUAUUGCAGUACCUGGCUCAGAGAAGGAGCUCAACCCGUAUUUCCUGAUUGAUCAAAUGUGAAAGAGGCUGGAACUGUUGGAGGAAUCUAGGCAUGAAGUAAUAAGGCCAUGGACUACGAAUGAGUAGUGGAAAUGAAAAGGAACUGGUAUUUCUUGCAUAUGAUCAAAAAAGAGAAAUACUAUAAUUUCCUAUUCUACACGCCCAUUUAAAAGGACUCACUUCAUACUAAAUUUGAAGCAAAUUCUCUUAUAGUAAUAAAGUUAUAAACAGUGGUCA
rnacentral:lncRNA from 1 species